rnacentral:rRNA from 1 species
CCUACGGGAGGCAGCAGUGGGGAAUAUUGCACAAUGGGGGAAACCUUGAUGCAGCAACGCCGCGUGAGCGAAGAAGUAUUUCGGUAUGUAAAGCUCUAUCAGCAGGGAAGAAGAUGACGGUACCUGAAUAAGAAGCCCCGGCUAACUACGUGCCAGCAGCCGCGGUCAUACGUAGGGGGCACGCGGUAUCCGGAUUUACUGGGUGUAAAGGGAGCGCAGACGGUGAGACAAGUCUGAAGGGAAAGCCCGGGGCUCAACCCCGGGACUGCUUUGGAAACUGCCUGACUGGAGUGCUGGAGAGGCAAGCGGAAUUCCUAGUGUAGCGGUGAAAUGCGUAGAUAUUAGGAAGAACCCCGAUUGCGAAGGCAGCAUGCCGGCUUCCGACUGACGCUGAGGCACGAAAGCGUGGGGAUCGAACAGGAUUAGAUACCCUAGUAGUC